UGAUCUCAAAGUCCUCGUCCUCGUUCAGC
rnacentral:sRNA from 1 species